rnacentral:rRNA from 1 species
CGCGUGUGUGAAGAAGGCCUUCGGGUUGUAAAGCACUUUCAGUCGUGAGGAAGGUAGUGUAGUUAAUAGCUGCAUUAUUUGACGUUAGCGACAGAAGAAGCACCGGCUAACUCCGUGCCAGCAGCCGCGGUAAUACGGAGGGUGCGAGCGUUAAUCGGAAUUACUGGGCGUAAAGCGCAUGCAGGUGGUUUGUUAAGUCAGAUGUGAAAGCCCGGGGCUCAACCUCGGAAUAGCAUUUGAAACUGGCAGACUAGAGUACUGUAGAGGGGGGUAGAAUUUCAGGUGUAGCGGUGAAAUGCGUAGAGAUCUGAAGGAAUACCGGUGGCGAAGGCGGCCCCCUGGACAGAUACUGACACUCAGAUGCGAAAGCGUGGGGAGCAAACAGGAUUAGAUACCCUGGUAGUCCACGCCGUAAACGAUGUCUACUUGGAGGUUGUGGCCUUGAGCCGUGGCUUUCGGAGCUAACGCGUUAAGUAGACCGCCUGGGGAGUACGGUCGCAAGAUUAAAACUCAAAUGAAUUGACGGGGGCCCGCACAAGCGGUGGAGCAUGUGGUUUAAUUCGAUGCAACGCGAAGAACCUUACCUACUCUUGACAUCCAGAGAACUUUCCAGAGAUGGAUUGGUGCCUUCGGGAACUCUGAGACAGGUGCUGCAUGGCUGUCGUCAGCUCGUGUUGUGAAAUGUUGGGUUAAGUCCCGCAACGAGCGCAACCCUUAUCCUUGUUUGCCAGCACUUCGGGUGGGAACUCCAGGGAGACUGCCGGUGAUAAACCGGAGGAAGGUGGGGACGACGUCAAGUCAUCAUGGCCCUUACGAGUAGGGCUACACACGUGCUACAAUGGCGCAUACAGAGGGCGGCCAACUUGCGAGAGUGAGCGAAUCCCAAAAAGUGCGUCGUAGUCCGGAUCGGAGUCUGCAACUCGACUCCGUGAAGUCGGAAUCGCUAGUAAUCGUGGAUCAGAAUGCCACGGUGAAUACGUUCCCGGGCCUUGUACACACCGCCCGUCACACCAUGGGAGUGGGCUGCAAAAGAAGUAGGUAGUUUAACCUUCGGAGGACGCUUACCACUU